rnacentral:rRNA from 1 species
UACGAAGGGGGCUAGCGUUGCUCGGAAUCACUGGGCGUAAAGGGUGCGUAGGCGGGUCUUUAAGUCAGGGGUGAAAUCCUGGAGCUCAACUCCAGAACUGCCUUUGAUACUGAAGAUCUUGAGUCCGGGAGAGGUGAGUGGAACUGCGAGUGUAGAGGUGAAAUUCGUAGAUAUUCGCAAGAACACCAGUGGCGAAGGCGGCUCACUGGCCCGGUACUGACGCUGAGGCACGAAAGCCAGGGGAGCGAACGGG